rnacentral:rRNA from 1 species
UACGGAGGGUGCAAGCGUUAUCCGGAUUCACUGGGUUUAAAGGGUGCGUAGGUGGGCAGGUAAGUCAGUGGUGAAAUCUCCGGGCUUAACCCGGAAACUGCCAUGAUACUAUCUGUCUUGAAUACCGUGGAGGUGAGCGGAAUAUGUCAUGUAGCGGUGAAAGCUUAGAUAUGACAUAGAACACCAAUUGCGAAGGCAGCUCGACUACGCGAAUAUUGACACUGAGGCACG